GCAUAACGCGAAGAACCUUACCUACCCUUGACAUGUCCAGAAUCCUGCAGAGAUGCGGGAGUGCCCGAAAGGGAAUUGGAACACAGGUGCUGCAUGGCUGUCGUCAGCUCGUGUCGUGAGAUGUUGGGUUAAGUCCCGCAACGAGCGCAACCCUUAUCAUUAGUUGCUACGCAAGGGCACUCUAAUGAGACUGCCGGUGACAAACCGGAGGAAGGUGGGGAUGACGUCAAGUCCUCAUGGCCCUUAUGGGUAGGGCUUCACACGUCAUACAAUGGUCGGUACAGAGGGUUGCCAAGCCGCGAGGUGGAGCCAAUCCCAGAAAGCCGAUCGUAGUCCGGAUUGUUCUCUGCAACUCGAGAGCAUGAAGUCGGAAUCGCUAGUAAUCGCGGAUCAGAAUGUCGCGGUAAAUACGUUCCCGGGUCUUGUACACACCG
rnacentral:rRNA from 1 species